UUGCGCCGCCGGAUCAUGGUUGACCGACGUGGGGUAUCGGAUUGCAACAGCGGCUGCGCUGGUUGUGCACGGACAAUGUGGACAGCGCCUUGAUGGUCCGUUCGGUCGCACGAACGCGAGCGACACGGCCGGAUUGGGCACGGACUCCAGCGGCGCGGCCCGAUGGGGUGUGGCGGUCAACAACCAUGAAGUUCAAUCACGAAUGUGAUUGAUUGAGCCGGUGGACGGCGCCUCCGCUGCUGGGUUCUCCAUGAAGGCAGCGCUGCUUGGUCAGGAUUGAUUGAUCUCUAUGACCUUAUCCCCCGAUAUUCUCCUCCUAAGCCUCCAGCUUUUACCUUCGCCCAAUCUACACAAGCCAGCAGCAACAAGGAAAGUUGAAAUGCUUAAUUCUGCUCCGAAGUGGCAUGAUCCCAAUCAAGACGAACUAUGUGUCCUGCAAAUAAAUCAUUAGGAUUUCAUUUUUAGUCAUCUCUAAGAUAUUUUGACUACCAAUAAAUUAUUCUGGUACACAUUUCGUUGCUUAGUUGAUUCAAGGGUACUAAUUACUGCAUGUGUUUCUGAUUAAAAAAAAGCAAUCGAUGAGGGGAUCCAUGAGUGUUUCUCAUUCAAACUACAUGUAUCUUCAUAUGUUGAAUCGAGUCAUACAAUAAUCAAUGAGGGGAUACAUGAAUUGCGGAAGGCAGAGGCUAUGAGCCGGAGCGCAGGAUACUGUCAUCAUUAUUGCCUCUACUUGCAUAGUCUGCUGCCACGCCCAUAACCCCUGGUACAUACAGAUGAAUAUGCGGCGGCGAGCUCGCACGGAUUGGCGGAUACGUCGGCUUCCAAGAGAAGCUCGCUCGGCACGGCCAUAUUCUCACUGGCCAACGGCGGAGACGUGACUGACCAGGUUUGUUUUCGGGACGGCGACCAUGGAUGAAUAAGAUCGACGAUGCACUGAUCAGUUCAGCAGAGCCUUGUUCUUUUCGGUCGAUGUUGAAGCCUGCUCCAUGUUCUCCAAUCACAUGGAGCUGUUUUUUGAAGCCCAUCAAUCACAUGCUAGACCAUUCCACGGUGAAAGUGUUCUUCAACUCUGAAAAACUGUUCUCUUUAUUGAUCACAUGGAUUGAUCAAGAGGGUAUCACAAUAUGGUCAAUGGAAGCAGCAGCUAACAUAUGGAUCAUAUGGGCGAUCAAAGAGAAAAUCACUUCUCUCUGUAAAAAAAAGAGAAUUACUCAAGAGUUUUGUAGUAGUAUAUUUUCCUCUGUUACCAUGUGUGGUCAAAGGGAAUGUACUACCAUCUUUAAUGAAGGAUAUGUAAUACCUGUGCGUUGACUCAUUUCUCUAAGUAAUUUUUCUCUGUAUCCAUGUUUAUUUUGGAUGGACCGGUAGUCGUUUAUUAGGAAGUAUAUACCUGACAGUUAAAUUUAUCACUUCUGUUGUCAUA